rnacentral:rRNA from 1 species
UACGUAGGGUGCAAGCGUUGUCCGGAAUUAUUGGGCGUAAAGAGCUCGUAGGCGGUCUGUCGCGUCGGAUGUGAAAACCCAGGGCUCAACCCUGGGCCUGCAUUCGAUACGGGCAGGCUAGAGUGUGGUAGGGGAGAUCGGAAUUCCUGGUGUAGCGGUGAAAUGCGCAGAUAUCAGGAGGAACACCGGUGGCGAAGGCGGAUCUCUGGGCCAUUACUGACGCUGAGGAGCGAAAGCGUGGGGAGCGAACAGG